AGUAAAAGGCAUGCUGUGCAUAGCCACCACAUGCCAUGGGCACCGUUGUCGUUCUGCACAAAGGAGGAGCAGCUCAGCAAGCUUGGCCUGGGCCGUGGGAGGGAGCAUACAGACAUCUGGACCAAGCGGAAACGAGUUAGUUCUUGAGCUGUCGCAACGCUUUGUUCCCUUGCUGCUGGGCUGGGGCGUUGAAGAAUGAUGCAGGUGCUGGUGCCCAGUCAGGCUUUGGGGCUGAGUCUGCAGAGCAGGAAGGGCAGGUGGUGAACCUCAUGAAGCAAUGCCUGCAGACGGGGUUUGCGGAGCAAGAG